GAUUGAACGCUGGCGGCAUGCCUUACACAUGCAAGUCGAACGGCAGCACGGGGGCAACCCUGGUGGCGAGUGGCGAACGGGUGAGUAAUGCAUCGGAACGUGCCCAGUAGUGGGGGAUAGCCCGGCGAAAGCCGGAUUAAUACCGCAUACGUACUGAGGUAGAAAGCGGGGGACCGAAAGGCCUCGCGCUAUUGGAGCGGCCGAUGUCGGAUUAGCUUGUUGGUGGGGUAAUGGCCUACCAAGGCGACGAUCUGUAGCUGGUCUGAGAGGAUGAUCAGCCACACUGGGACUGAGACACGGCCCAGACUCCUACGGGAGGCAGUAGUGGGGAAUUUUGGACAAUGGGCGCAAGCCUGAUCCAGCCAUGCCGCGUGCAGGAUGAAGGCCUUCGGGUUGUAAACUGCUUUUGUACGGAACGAAAAGGUGCCUUCUAAUAAAGGGCGCUCAUGACGGUACCGUAAGAAUAAGCACCGGCUAACUACGUGCCAGCAGCCGCGGUAAUACGUAGGGUGCGAGCGUUAAUCGGAAUUACUGGGCGUAAAGCGUGCGCAGGCGGUUUUGUAAGACAGAGGUGAAAUCCCCGGGCUCAACCUGGGAACUGCCUUUGUGACUGCAAGGCUGGAGUGCGGCAGAGGGGGAUGGAAUUCCGCGUGUAGCAGUGAAAUGCGUAGAUAUGCGGAGGAACACCGAUGGCGAAGGCAAUCCCCUGGGCCUGCACUACGCUCAUCAC
rnacentral:rRNA from 1 species